GACUUGCACGCCUAAUGGUCGGGCCGGGGAGGAAGGACCCCAAAUGGCAAGAAGGAAAGGCGGCAGAGCAGAGAUCGGCCUCCCUUCACCCCCGCCCGGCUCGCCUCUUUUGCAUGCCAUUCUCCCUCUCUCUCUGUUUUCCUUCGUUCUCCGUCGGAGGAGCAACGAGGCAUAGGGAGCAGCCCGAGAGGGACACGAUCCCCGCCGAUCAAAGUCUGCUCUUGAAAGCCAGCGUUCGGCCGGGAUGGUUAGGCAGCAUUGUUGUUGUUCUUAAUCGCGGCCCAGAUCUGAAAGCAGUCUUUGGCUGAGGGCAGGGAAGGAGGCCGUGGGGUCUGGGGAAAUGAACGAGAGCAGCGAGCCGGAUCUUGGGCCAGAGUGGAGUUGCACAAACAGGUGCUUGGCGAUGCCAGAAGGGAGGCGUGUUUUGUUUUGUGCGGGCUUUUGCAGAAUGGUGGCUUUAUGCAGGCGCUAUCAACAUAGGACGAAGAGGAGGGCAUGUCUGUCAGUGCACAGCCGGACUCGGAGGGGUUUAUCGCUGGAGAGGGUAACAGUAACCUGAAUAGACGCUUGCCCAGCGAUGAAUAGACGCGAUGUCCCCGCAAGUGGGUUUUGGUGGUCCUGGCCAGGAAGUAAGAAUGGAAGGCUCACAGUGUAAGGCAGGGCUCUUUGUACCUUCGCAGGCAGCACCUUCUAGGAAGCGAUGAAGACUAGCAGUGCCAAUUCCUUUGGUCUUGUAGAUGUGCAAUAGCCUUUCUUGCAUUGAAUGGAGGGGUGGAGCUAACCCCUUUCCCUCCCAGUUCCAUCAUGCACUAGCAGAAUAGUGCACUAGCUAGGAACGCCUGUGCCAGGAUAAGUAAUGGCAUAAAUCACCCACCUGAAUAGCAAAAGUUACAGAUAAUCAUCCAUUUUCAUCUUUAUGUACCCCAAACUGUGGAGAAAUGAAUUAAUCCAUCUAAUCUAUCAGAGAGCCUCCAGCUACAUCAGUUUUAGCUAAACAAUUAUGCAACUCACUGCAGUGUCCACCAUGGUUCUGUCAUUUUGUCAAGUCAAAGUGCAUUCCUUUUAGAAUUACAAAAACCACCUCAUUCCUUGAGGUAACCACAUGCCCCAGAUAAUAGCAGAAAAUAUUUCACUUAGCCGUUAUGUAGAAUCCAUCUUUCAGUGUGAUCACCAAACCAAAAUCAUGCGGAUUAUUAACCAGGGAGGAUGGAGACAGCUUUUCAAAUAUUUCAGUAGCUGAAGGAAUGCUAGCUUGCUUCAUGGUGUGCAUUCAUUUGAAUUAAUAAAAUGUUAUUUCUCUCCCAAGACAUCGGAAAUCAGGUUCAAUGAAGCUGUUGCAUGGUCCAAAAGUUGUAUCCCCGACCCCUCCAUUUGUCAUUUUAAGCCUUCUCUUAACUUUAGAUUUUAUUCCUUAAUUUUUCCCAAUCAGCAAUCUGAAAGACCAAAAUCUUUUGACCAUUUAAUCAUCACUUCCUUAACUUCUUCCUCUUUUACUUCCCAACCUAGCAGGAGUCUAUACAUUUUAGAUAAUAAUUUCUUUUUAUUUUGUAUUAAAUCUUUUUCCAGCCUCAGUACUUCUGUUGCACACCUCUUUCUUCGAUCUAGUUUAAGAAUAUCAUUUAGUUGACGGUACUGCAACCAAUCUGUAAGAUGGUGUCUAAUUUCUUCAAACUUUCUCAAUUUUACUUGGUUUUCUUCCUCUUCUAGUAUUUCUUUAUAGGUUGCCCUGUUUCCCCCAUUUCUCCUCUUCCCUGAGAUAGCCUCUAGGGGAGAUAACCACCAGGGUGUUUUUGUUCUAAGAGGUUUGUAAACCUAUCCCACACCAUGUAUAAUGAUUUCCUUAUUAUGUGAUUCGAAAACCCCGUGUACUUUGACUUUUUCAUGGCCUAAAUAGGCGUGCCACCCAAAUCUGUUGCCCCAUCCCUCCAAAUCUGUAUUCUAAUACAUCUGUAUUCUGCAAAAUUAUCCACUCUUUCAUCCAACAUAGGCUUUAAAAAAUAUUCUUUAAUUUAAAAUAUUAAUUAGCACAAGUAUUCUACAAAUGUUGCUACUGUUUAAAACAUCAAGUACAUCUCUUAAUCAAAAUAGGAAACAGCCCUGCUGUGAAAAUGUUACUUCUAUAUUUAAUAUCCUUUCAAAAUAUACACAUUAACAGGAGGCAGCAGAGCAUUUUCUUUUUCUUUUAAAAAUAUACAUAACAUCACUGCAAGUAGUAAUUAAAACAACAAAAACUUUAAAAGAGUUUUCCCAUUUGUUCCCAACUAGGCUGUACAUUCUACAUUAUCAAAGAAGUUAGUUUGCUUUCUAUGAAGCUGUCAAAUGAAUUGUUUCCUAUUAGGAGGUCCAUUGUCACUGCUGAGCUGCCCACUGUGGGCAGCAGGAAGAAACCUCUGUAUUGGAGAUACAGUAUCCACAAGAUAAGAAUGUUUGAUACGUAGUUAGUAAGCUUUUAUGAAAGAGCUGUAUUUUGUAGGAUAAGAAAAAAAUAUAUUCACACGUUCAGUUCCACACUUACAGCUCUUGUAUAUCUUGUAUUGUAUUGGUUCAAAUUUUGAACCAAUGCAGAGGUAACAGUAGUCAUUUGUCACACUCUAGAUGCUGCUCCUGCUCCACCUCCUCCAUCUUCAUCCUCUUCCUCUUCCCCCUCCUCCUCCUCCUCUUUUUCUGUCUGAAGCAUUUUUAGAUACUUUUAGAUAGUUCUCUGCUGUAUGGGACAAGUCACUGAAAGUUAAUGAUGUUUUGUUCUUUCCCUGGUCGUGACUGUAGGAACACACAGCUAAAUACUGGACAAACGGCUCCAUGGUC